GGUUUUAAGCAAAUUUUAACAUCUUUUUCGACUAAAAGUUAUUUGCAACCGUUGCACAUGUAGCUAACUUACGCGUCACAGACCCAUGAUUGUCAGGUUAACUAUACAUCACAAUGUAAUCAAUUUCAAUUGUGUAUUUUUUCAUUGGAUGUAUGGCAUUGGUGACCUGGGAGCAGCCAGUCGUAUGUCUUGAAAUUGUUAACACAUGUACAUGUGUAAACAACUAUGUGUUACCAAAAGUAACGCAUGGUGUUCUCACCAAUGGGUGUGUAAGAAAGCUAAAAUAAUGUAUUCUAAUACAACUAAUAUAUAAUCUUAUUUUUCUUUGAAUAGAUUUUGUGUUAAAUCAGACGGUUGAGUUCUGCAGUUAAGUGUAAUACAUACUCCAAAAAAGUGGUACAUACCACAUUUCCUCUCAACUGCUGCUCUCACUCAGCCUUGUGUGUGCUAUUUUCAGCAUUGUCAUAUAUCAGCUAAAUAUAAUUUUUAUAACUUACAAAACGGCAGUGAUCAGUUUUAAAACAGCACUGUUUCAAAAUGAUAUGUAAAAAAUCCUGAUGAUGUAAAUAUUUGGUGAGAUAAAAUAAACAGAUCACUAUUUUAGCACAUACUAACAAAUACAAAAUUCACAAGUAAGGUAAUACAGAUCUAUAUUUUUUAUGCAUGUAUAUAAAUACUAUUUCAAUGAAUUGUCAUUGUUGCUUAUGUUACUUCCCCCGAACAGACAACUGGACUAGGUGAAGAUUGGUAUAGAUAGGUUUCUUUAUUCUGGAGAAUAUGGUUUUAUAGUCAAAACAAACCCUUGAGCUGUGGGCUUUAGGGCGGUAACAUCAUCAAAACAGUCAAAAUGUCAAUUAUCCCUGCAUAGUUCAAAUGCAGAUCGAGAGUAUGUAGCCUGUGUAAAUCGUGACAGGUGAAAGAAUGUCAGGUAAGUGACAAUGACCAACUGGGUCAAACACAGCUGGCCAGUCUAUUGGUUGAUCGGCAUUGUCCCUGGUCAGAGGUUAGAUAUUUAGAUAAGUAAAUGCAUGUCCCUACAGUUCCUAGCCAAAGGUUUAGGUGCAUGUGUUUUGUGCAUAAUAAAAUCAUGAAAACAAAACCCACAUGGUUACACUUAUUUAUUUAUUUUUAAUUUAGUUUUAGAAGCACUAGCAAAUGGUGGACAAAACAUGGUAACUGAGGACGUUUCUGGUAAGCCAGAGCAUUUACAUGCAGUAUAGAUUAACAAUGAUAGAUCCUCUAAUAUACAGUAUUUGCUACGUUGAAGUUUACAUUUGGACAAAACGUGGUAACUGAGGACGUUUUUGGUAAGCCAGAGCAUUUACAUGCAGUAUAGAUUAACAAUGAUAGAUCCUCUAAUAUACAGUAUUUGCUACGUUGAAGUUUACAUUUGGACAAAACGUGGUAACUGAGGACGUUUUUGGUCAGCCAGAGCAUCUACAUGCAGUAUAGAUUAACAAUGAUAGAUCCUCUAAUAUACAGUAUUUGCUACGUUGAAGUUUACAUAUUGGACAAAAUGUGGUAACUGAGGAUGUUUCUGGUAAGCCAGAGCAUCUACAUUAACAAUGAUAGAUCCUCUAAUAUACAGUAUUUGCUACAUUGAAGUUUACAUUUGAACAAAACGUGGUAACUGAGGACGUUUCUGGUAAGCCAGAGCAUCUACAUUAACAAUGAUAGAUCCUCUAAUAUACAGUAUUUGCUACGUUGAAGUUUACAUUUGGACAAAACGUGGUAACUGAGGACGUUUCUGGUAAGCCAGAGCAUCUACAUGCAGUAUAGAUUAACAAUGAUAGAUCUUCUAAUAUACAGUAUUUGCUACGUUGAAGAUUACAUUUGGACAAAACGUGGUAACUGAGGACGUUUCUGGUAAGCCAGAGCAUCUACAUGCAGUAUAGAUUAACAAUGAUAGAUCCUCUAAUAUACAGUAUUUGCUACGUUGAAGUUUACAUUUGGACAAAACGUGGUAACUGAGGACGUUUCUGGUAAGCCAGAGCAUCUACAUUAACAAUGAUAGAUCCUCUAAUAUAUACAGUAUUUGCUACGUUGUAGUUUACAUUUGGACAAAACGUGGUAACUGAGGACGUUUCUGGUAAGCCAGAGCAUCUACAUGCAGUAUAGAUUAACAAUGAUAGAUCCUCUAAUAUACAGUAUUUGCUACGUUGAAGAUUACAUUUGGACAAAACGUGGUAACUGAGGACGUUUCUGGUAAGCCAGAGCAUCUACAUGCAGUAUAGAUUAGCAAUGAUAGAUCCUCUAAUAUACAGUAUUUGCUACGUUGAAGUUUACAUUUGGACAAAACGUGGUAACUGAGGACGUUUCUGGUAAGCCAGAGCAUCUACAUUAACAAUGAUAGAUCCUCUAAUAUACAGUAUUUGCUACGUUGUAGUUUACAUUUGGACAAAACGUGGUAACUGAGGACGUUUUUGGUAAGCCAGAGCAUCUACAUGCAGUAUAGAUUAACAAUAAUAGAUCCUCUAAUAUACAGUAUUUGCUACGUUGAAGUUUACAUUUGGACAAAACGUGGUAACUGAGGUCGUUUCUGGUAAGCCAGAGCAUCUACAUGCAGUAUAGAUUAACAAUGAUAGAUCCUCUAAUAUACAGUAUUUGCUAUGUUGAAGUUUACAUUUGGACAAAACGUGGUAACUGAGGACGUUUCUGGUAAGCCAGAGCAUCUACAUGCAGUAUAGAUUAACAAUGAUAGAUCCUCUAAUAUACAGUAUUUGCUACGUUGAAGUUUACAUUUGGACAAAACGUGGUAACUGAAGACGUUUUUGGUAAGCCAGAGCAUCUACAUGCAGUAUAGAUUAACAAUGAUAGAUCCUCUAAUAUACAGUAGUAUAUACGUUGUAGUUUACAAUUGGAAUUUGAAAAUAUUCAAAGCUUCUGGGUAUUACCUUUCCAGUAGACAUUUUUACUAAAUUGUUAACAUUUGUAAUCUAUACAAUACUGUUUAAAAAAUAUAUAUAUUCUGGCAGUGUUAUUUGUAUAAACUUGCACAAUUAGGUAAAAUAACCAAUAAAAUAAUUUAUUCUGUCCAAAAAUAUAUACUUUAUUAAUCCACAACAAGCUUCCAUAAAUAGAAUGAUAGAUUUAAACAGUGGUAACAUUUUGUUCAAGGAAUACCAUAAACAUUUAAAAAAGAUUUAGCAGGUUUAUGACAUUUUUCAUAUUGCUUGUUAUGUGGUACUUAGUCAAAUUACUUACAAUUUCUUUUAGCCUCAUCUAAUUCUUACUUUAUUUUUUUUCAUUUCAUAUUUUUAGAAGAAACAAGUGAUCAAGCAAAUGUGUUGAUUAUAAACAAACCAGAAACUGAUGACAUUCCACGCAAGUAUUUAAAUAUCACAACAACAACCCAAAAAUAUUUACUUUCUAUUGCACUUACUUCAGUAAUAAAAUGAGGCUUAGAUAUUUAAAAAACAACAACAUAUUUAGAAAUACAUAGACAAUUACUGGUAUAUUAUAAAUUUUAUUAUUUGAUAAAUGUUUGAAUGAUAGGCUUGAAUCACAAGUAAACCGAAAUUAUAAUAUAUAAUAUGUUUUAAAUUGAGUUAAUUUGAUUUUUAGUUACAGUUGUCAGACACCGAAAGAGGAAAUGUAAGUUAUUAAUAUUAUUCUUCCAUUUCAUUAUUGUAUCAACUAACUGAAUUUUUAUUUCACUCGUAAAACCUUAGGAUUAUUAGUUUGUGGAAAUUACUUUACUGGUUAUGGAUUUGUUUGAAGUUAUUUUAUAACAUACUUGAGGAUUAUAAUGAUGAAACAUUAAUAUUUUUAUAAAAUGAUCAGUUUUGAAGAUUGCACUUCUUUUCUGCAAAUAUUACACAAUAUGGUAUUUAGGUAGAUCACCAUGUCUUUGAAUUCAUUAAAACACAGGAAACUGCCUUUUAAAUAGCAUAUAUAAUGUACACAAAAUAUAAAAUCAUUUAAAUUUAUAUCUUUUCUUUUAAUUUUAUGGUUACUACUUGAAAAUUAUUUUAUACAUGUAUCUAGUUUUGACAAUCACCUAGAUAAUUUAAAGUGUAGUUUAAAGUUAUAAUAUAGGGUAUCCAAUAAUUUAACGUCUUUUAGUAAUAAAAACACCAAUAUACCAAUAUAUCCAUGCCCAUUAAAAAAAUAUGCUUCUGCUAUAGAUUGAAAUCGUCAGUCUUAUUUUUACUAUUUUUAUGACUGCCACAAAACAAUUCAUUAAACCAAUGAAAAAACAUUGAGGAAUAGGGACAAGUCUUACCACAUAAUCCUAUAGAACAGUUCAUCCCAUGUCUUUUUAUAGCAAUGACAACUACUUUUGACUGUUAUGUAAAUGAUAAUAAGCAUAUUGGCUAUUAUCUCAAAUUUAUUGGUGGCAGUUCUUGUAAAAGUGUUUAAAACAAUUAUGAAUACACUUAAUAGCAAAAAUAUAUUAAUGUUUCAAACAGUGUGGAUGUAUUAGUUUUUUUCAUUACUAAGACACUAAAUUAUUGGAGACCUUACAUUAUCACUUUAAGAUAAAUUCAAUACCAUUAUAGCUCCUUGCAUUAUAAUAUUGUAAUUCUACAUUAAUUAUAUAUGUUAUGUUACUCUAUUUUGUUUUUCUAAGUGGCAGAUCGGAAAAUUGCAUCAAAAAAUAAAAAGAGUUUGUCUGCAGAUGUGUACAUUCAAGAAAAAAUAAUUGAAAAAAGAAAAAUUGGCAAGAGGACUGAAUAUUUAGUCAAGUGGGAAGGAUUUGAUUCAGAUGAAUGAUUUUUUUUGGACAAAACUUUAAUCAAUGAAUUUAAUAACUUAAAAAAGUAAAAUACACAUAAAAUCAAAAUUUAUCAAUCUUCAGGCAUCGAAACGAGUCGAGAACAGUCGUUCAGGUUUUUACCUAUCAGUAAAGUUGAGAAUUUUUUGAUGAAAGUGAAGUAAUUUGUAGUGAACUUUUCUAGUGUUCAAGUUUGUUUUAUUCACAAUUUCAUUUUAAAACCAAAAACAAAAAGUAUUGACAUGUUUUGACUCAUUGCUUUUUAUUUACUUAUUUUAUACUAGCCAUUAAACGCAACAUAUAUAAAUGUAUGUAAUAAAUGUUAGUGUGUGUGUCCGUCAGUGGAACAAUAAAGGAAUUUUUGUACUUCUGAAAUGAAAAAAACCUGAUUUGGUAAAAUACUAAAACUGAAAGUGAGAAAAUCUGAAACGGAAAUCGGUGCCUCUGAAAUAUGUGACACCUACAUACAAAGUAUUAAUACAAUGAGAACAGUGAUGUGAAUAAAUCACAAAUAUAUUAUACUGCUCAUCGUGCAUGUAUGUAAGGAAUUUAACACCAAUAAUGAUUGGAAUCGUAAACUGGAUAAAUGUGUGGUAACCUAUAGGUUACCAGGACCAUGUUUUGUAGUAACCUGUAAAUGGGUUUCCAGACACAUUCCUUAUUUCAGUGCCUGAUCAUGAGAAACUGAUGUAAAUCAUUCUAGAAUAUGUAGGUUUGUCUUAAUUUUUCUCAAACAUUUAUAAUCAAAGUUAUUAUCAUUUUUAAAUUAUGCUCUGUAGUUGUAGUAUUUAUGUAGCCAAAACCAUAGCAACUAAUUUGAUCAUUUUAUGUUAUGGAUGUCCAAUAGUUCACCAAGUAAUUCAAUUCUUGUUAACCACCACUUCAUAACCAUUAACAUAAGUUUUUAAAAUGGGCCUAACAAAUUAAAUAUUCUUAUCUGAGCAACAUUGUAUUUGGUAAACAAAUACUGCAUUAGAUGAUUGCUAUUAGAUGACUGCUUUCUAUUAAAUCCUGAUACUAAUUAAAUACAAAUUUAAAGUUGAAAUUGUUGCCAUAUUGAAAUAUAACACAAACCUGGGUACCUCAUUUGUAGAGUUUUGGGCGAAAGUGGCAGAUUUUGUAGGGGUUAAUAUCCCCAAUAAUAUUAUUGAAAACCCUGGACAUUAACCCUGCCCAUUUUGCCAUUUCAUAUUUGGCACAUAGUAUUAGUGACUGACAACCCAGUUAUUAAAAAGACUUUAUUUCAAGAUGCCAAUAAUGAUACUUACAAUAAUUUUACAGAUGGGUCCAAGGACCCAAUAUCUGGAAGGACAGGAUCUAAUUAAUGAAAUAUUGAUAUUUUAUUUUCAACUUUUGGAUGGAGAAAAUAAAAUUAUUCUGGAAGGGGUACCAUAUAGGAAUUUUUGUAAUUGAAAUGGCCGACUGCCUUGCCAAAAAGGCUCUGAUAGAAUUUUCAGUUAACAAAAAUAUAUGCCUAGGCGUGUCAGAAAUCAUGUCCCUUACUACAUUAAAGCUUAAUAAAAAUUGGCAGGAGUAGUAGGACCAAACCACAAGAUAUUGGCACCAAGUUUUAAAAACGAAGGUAGAUGCCCCUGGUCCAGUUCGGGAGAAUAAUAAAAACACAAACAUUAUUACAAAAUUAAGAACAGGGAUUUCGGCUGCCCUGGCAUUUGUACAGAAUAGGGCUAAAAGAAUCCCCUAAUUGUUUAAUUUGUAAAGUUGAAGAAGAUAACAAGCAUUUCUUAAUGAUUUGACCAAUAACGCUCCAUAUGUUUUGGUAUUCUUCAAGGUUUAGGACUCUGCCCCAACAAAACAAACAGUGAUGUUGUUUUUAAAGCAGUCUUGCAAUAUGUCAUGGACACUGGGGUGCCAAUAUAAUGAGCACUGGCCCUUGCAUACAAUAAAAUAACUUCAUUUAUGGAAUAGUAAGGGGGCAGUGGGCUCUCCGCCACGAGGUAACGGGUACCGACACUCGGGAGUGGGGUAGUUCCUUGUCCCCCUUGAAAAAUAAAAAUAAACUUAAAUUGCAACUCCUUCCCACUGCGAGCUAACCGGUACUGACACUUUGGGAUGGAGUCGGACCUGUCCUUUACACAUAACCCCCCCCCCCCUAUUUUUGCUUGUACAUGCAGUGAGGUGAUAGAAGCCCAUCAGAAAGGUGUGGAUAGGUUGAAGUAGAACUGAAUUUUUUUUUCUAAAUGAAGAAAAUUUCAAUAUGCUUUUUUUUAUAUAGUAUUGGUUGAAAUGAGUUUUCUUUUUUGUGUGCUAAAUAUUAUUUUAUAGUAAAAGACAUAUUUAUAAAAUGUAUAACAUGUAUGUUAUAAAACUGGAGAUAUAACACAAUUUUGCAAUUGAUAUGUUUAAGAUAUAUGUGGGACAAUUGGAUUGUGAUUCCAGUAUUUUUUUAUACUAGGUAUGCUUUGUUGUUUAAUAAAUACUUUUAAAAGAAAAA